rnacentral:sRNA from 2 species
AUUAUGCACAUGCUGAAUCUUAUUUUAAGAGCGGGGGACCCAAUCUAGACGGCGGAUUUCCGCUUGGGGUGAAUCCAUAUAAUGGAGGGGCUUGCUGUUUCCAUCGUCCCAACCCGAAAGCUAACCUCGUAAGCAUUUAAGGAAACAUAA